CAGGCGGCUHGUUUAACGGCUUCCCUACGGCACAGCACCCACUCGUAGUGGGUGCCACACCUAACKAGCAUCGUUUACAGCUAGGACUACCCGGGUAUCUAAUCCGGUUUGAGACCCUAGCUUUCGUCCCUCACUGUCGAAKCCGUCUUCUCARAGUGCUUUCGCCAUCGGURGUCCGUCCGGGAUUACRGGAUUUCACUCCUACCCCGGAMGUACUCUCUGAGCCUUCCGGUUCCAAGCCAAVCAGUUUCYACCGGACGCCCACCCGUUGGGCRGGUGGAUUUCCCGAURGACUUGGUUGGCCAGCUACGGACGCUUUAGGCCCAAUAAUAUGGGACAUCACUCGAGCUGCCGGUAUUACCGCGGCGGCUGGCACCGGUCUUGCCCAGCUCUUAUUCGUUGACCACCUUACAGUCAACAAAAGCGAGGGCUAAUAUGCCCUCGCACUUGGGAUUCCCCUAUCGCACUUCCGUGCARWGUAAAGGUUUCGCGCCUGCUGCACCCCGU
rnacentral:rRNA from 1 species